CGAUAUAUCGAUAUUGAUUUAAUACUGAUAUUUUCGGUAUAUCGGUAUCCCGAACAGUGCUAUGUACGAGCAGCCCGCAACCACCCGGAGAAAAUAGGGUCACACGGUCAAUCGUGUUGAAAAAAAUAAUAGGGUGGGCAGAAAAAAAUAGGGUCAGUCGGGAAACCAGAACCACGGGUAUUUUAUUUUUAGACCUUGGUAUAGCAUUGACAAUUAAGCCCAGGUCACACCACA